CUGGCGAGCGUGGCCUCCCGACCUCUUCAGGGUGCUCUUCAGUUCGCUGGUCUUGCUGCCUGGCUGCGUUGGAUGGGGACUCAGCUUUGGAGAGAGGAGGCGCCCCCCGAACACACAGUCCUGUUGUUUGCUUCCAGCAUUCUGUCUGUCAGCAACCUAGUCACCUAGGCUGGGCCUGCUCCUGGGUCCUGCCUUUCUCUCCCCAGCAGGUGGCAAGCGGUUCGUGGACUGGUACCGCAGUCCUGCUCCUUGGGGCUGGUCCCUGACCACGCUGAAACACAACCUGGCAUGUGGAGCAGGAGGGGCAACUGUCGCGGGGACCCCCGAACCCAGGGGAGUCUUGGGGACGAUGAGCACAGAGCUUGAGGAGGCCACGGAUCUACACUUGCUCCUCCCCUCAGAGGGGCCCAGGUCCGGAGUCGGGAAGGAGGGCCCAGGGCGAGUUGUCCUCGGGAAACGGGCAAAGUCGCAGGUAAAAAUGAAACCUACAAUGAUGGAAAAACUGGGUCACGCUACUACGUGGAGACGCAUGUGCUUCUGCAGCAAGGGCCCCUCUCUGAGCAUGAGAAGCCGAGGUCCCGAAGUCAGCAGCACGAGAGAGCCUGAGCUCCCCACUGACUGCUGUGCCGCUCACAGAGGCCAGGUGAGGAAAUUAGCCCAUGUGUCCACCCGAGGACGAUGGCUGGAGAAAACAGUCCAUACAGGCAGUGGAGCACUACAUAGCCGUAAAGAGGAGUGAAGCCGUGUCAUCUGCAGAGUUGCGGAGUUGGGGAUCAUCAUGUUGAGCGAAAUAAGCCAGAGUCAGAAAGACAAAUGUCACGUGAUUUCUGCUGAAGAGGGAAACAACAAAUAAUACAAUAUGACAAACAAGCAAAACACCAUGAUGUGAAAGAAAGGGAGAUAUUGGGCUGGGGAGGGAACAGGUACAGGAGGGUAACAGGGUGUAGGUACAGGCAAAGUGUGUCAUAUGCAACCGUGGAAAUGUCACAGAGAAACCCACUAUUGUGCACAUUAAUGUAUGCUGACGCAAUAAAAAAUAAUAUGCAGAACAGUUCCAUUAAAAAGGAUAUUAAGGAAUUGUUGGAGAUGUGUGACCAAAUAAACAUUUAAACUUUUCCAUCAACUUAAAGCCUUCAAAAGCAAACUUACAGUAAUGAUAAGCCAGGAAUUAUUAUUCAAAAGAAUUCUUUUGAUAAAAGUUUACAAUUUACAAUGUACAAAGAAUUCUUUUAAGUCCAAAAGGUAUAUACGCCUAUAAUUCCAGCUAAUGCAGAGGCUGAGGCAGGAGGAUUGCAAAUACAAGGCCAGCCUGGG
rnacentral:lncRNA from 1 species